CCCCAGCUUGCUGGGGGGAUUAGUGGCGAACGGGUGAGUAACACGUGAGUAACCUGCCCUUGACUCUGGGAUAAGCCUGGGAAACUGGGUCUAAUACUGGAUACGACCUUCUGGCGCAUGCCAUGUGGGUGGAAAGCUUUUGUGGUUUUGGAUGGACUCGCGGCCUAUCAGCUUGUUGGUGGGGUAAUGGCCUACCAAGGCGACGACGGGUAGCCGGCCUGAGAGGGUGGACGGCCACACUGGGACUGAGACACGGCCCAGACUCCUACGGGAGGCAGCAGUGGGGAAUAUUGCACAAUGGGCGCAAGCCUGAUGCAGCGACGCCGCGUGAGGGAUGAAGGCCUUCGGGUUGUAAACCUCUUUCAGUAGGGAAGAAGCGAAAGUGACGGUACCUGCAGAAGAAGCGCCGGCUAACUACGUGCCAGCAGCCGCGGUAAUACGUAGGGCGCAAGCGUUAUCCGGAAUUAUUGGGCGUAAAGAGCUCGUAGGCGGUUUGUCGCGUCUGCCGUGAAAGUCCGGGGCUUAACUCCGGAUCUGCGGUGGGUACGGGCAGACUUGAGUGAUGUAGGGGAGACUGGAAUUCCUGGUGUAGCGGUGAAAUGCGCAGAUAUCAGGAGGAACACCGAUGGCGAAGGCAGGUCUCUGGGCAUUAACUGACGCUGAGGAGCGAAAGCAUGGGGAGCGAACAGGAUUAGAUACCCUGGUAGUCCAUGCCGUAAACGUUGGGCACUAGGUGUGG
rnacentral:rRNA from 1 species